CCAGUCCAAGCCAUGUGCUGCCAGCUUCUCCAGGAGAAUACUGUGGGAGACAGCAUCAAAGGCUUUGCUGAAGUCUAGGCAGACUAUGUUGGCAGUCUUUCUCUCAUCUGGGUCACCUGGUCAUAGAAGGAGAUGAGGUUGGUCAGUCAGGUCCCGCCUUUCAGGUAGCCAUCCCCCGGUUGUCAUGUACUUGCUACAUGAUCACAGUCAAGAUGACGUGCUCCAUAACUUUCCUUGAUACUGAGGUGGGGCCUAUAGUUCCCCAGAUCCCCCUUACAACCCUUGCUAUAGGUGGGCAUUACGUUAGCAAGUCUCCAGUCAUCUGAGACCUCUCCUGCUGACCAGGACCGCUGAUAGAUGGUGGAAAGCAGCUUGGCAAUCACAUACACCAGCUCCUUCAGCAUCCUUAGGUGGAUCCCAUCUGGCCCCAUGGACUUGUGACAGUCCAGGUGGAGUAGCAGGUGUCUAACUGUUUCUACCCAAGUCAUGGGAGGUUUAUUCUUCUUCCUACCCCAGAUUUCCCGGUCAGGAGGCAGAGUGCCUUGAGGAUAACUUUUCUGACUAAUAAAGACAGAUGUAAAGACGUCAUUGAGAACUUCAGCCUUUUCCUUAUCCUCAGCAGUCAUGUUCCCUGCUGCAUCCAGUAAAGGGUGAGGAUUCUUCUUGGUCCUCCUCUUACUGUUAACAUAUUUGUAAAAAAAAAGUUAUUUGUUGUCCUCUACUACAGUGGCCAGGUUGAGCUCAUACUGGUCUUCAGCCUUUCUGAUUUUCUUGUUGCAUAUCCUAGCAGUUUCUUAUAUUUUCCUUUAGCUGCCUGUCCCUUCUUCCACAGGAGGUAAACUCUUUUUCUCCUGAAAUCUCAGCAAAAUCUCCCUGUUCAGCCACACUGGUCUUCUUCCCCUUGGCUCAUCUUACAGCACAUGGGGACAGCUUGCUCCUGUGCCAUUUAUAUUGCUCACACUGCCAAGUAAACUUUACAUUUGUCGCUUAUUAGAGUGCCAAACUACACAUACACUUCCUUUUCUAUUACAAAUUUCUAUUUUAUCAGUAUUCUAAGUCGAGAGACUUAGAUGUCAGGAGCAUCACCAUUCAUAUAAUGCUAGCAGGUGUUCAUGUUUUUUACGUGGUCCAUGCAUGACAGUAAUUUAACAGAUGGCAGACUGUGCAACAAAGUGCAUGCUUCUCAUUUUGUUCAUAUAAUUUCUCUUCAGUAUUUGUCAAUUAUAGGGAUUUAUGAAAUUGAAGCAAUUUCAAUCAAGAUAUUUGAGGAGCUGAGUGGACUUAGUUAAACCUCAAAAUGUAAGGCAAAUGUGAAUUACUACUUUGUACUAUAUUCAGUAUUGCCACUUUUUUUUCUGAGAGUGGGUGAUGAAUCUAUUAGUAGUCUUGGUUGGUGUGCAAGGGUGCUGUGUGCACAGGAAAGACAACAUCCCAAUUUUUUUACAUAUACUGAAGUUUAAUGUUGUCUAAGAAUACACAAUUAUCUCAUGAGCUCACGCUGAAGGGAUUAUCAAAGAUAGUUUGUGAGUACGUUUUGAACUCCUCCUUCUAUAAUAUUCUUCUAUCACAAAGAUACAAGUAUGUUUUCUCAGGAGUGUUAAAAUGGAAUUUGUGUCUUUAAUACCAUUUGAACAAGCAAAUAAAACUCUCCCGUGACAGUAACCUGCCAUAUAGAUUUUUCAACGUCACUAAUCUUUGUGAAAUUUUAUGUUGUUCUAACAAGUGUGUCUCAUUUAUUAUCUAUUUCAUUGAGUAUCUCCUCUGGGCUUUCCAGAGACCAGUUGAAUUUUCAUAGGGAAUAUAAACUGAAUUGAUAUAUUCCACUUGAUUCUUGAAGUCUAAAGAACAAACAUUUAAGUAACUUUUCUGGGAUAUACGCACAUAGCCCACUAGUAGGUAUGUUAAACUGGAGCAAUGACAGUAAAGAUGGAAUCUGAAAAUAAUACGGUUGGCAAAAUGUAAUCAUCUUCCUCCCUUUUUUGGAGGUGAGGAGGGAUGGCCUUUGUAGACCCCCCAGCUUAAGUACUGGUGCAUUCUUAAGUAUAGAGCAAUAGAUAUUCCUUGUAGUGGAGAACUCUUUCUCUAGUUGCAGGACACCUAACCAAGGUACAAAAGCACUUAAGUGCAUCUUCAGAACUGUUGGGAUACAUAUAUUUUUAACUGCAAACAAAUCAAUAUAUGUUUUUCUAACUAUAUUUUAUGAAUGGAUUAAUGGCUCAUUAAAUGGAUAUACAGAUCUGUUGAGAGUAUCUGCCAGAAAUACUGUCAUGGAAACAUAACUGCAAAAUCUAUACCCAAAGUAGUAACUUUAAUAGUGGGGAUUUCAUUUGUUUUAGUCUGUUCACUGCAAACAAAUUCAAUUCCAAACAAUAGUGAAAAUAUGAACGUUUUCUAUUUAAACUGUGUACAACAUGGAGGAUAGCAGAUCAUUUGCAAAAUCAAAUCACAAGCAACAAAUUUAAAAAAACAAAAGCGUUUCUAGCUCUGACUCAGACAGAACUGAUGCUAAAUCUGUGACCUUUGAAGUCCACAAUUACUUACUGGAACCUGAAUUUUCACCCCUGAAUUUCUUUACCGAGCUUACUUAAGAACUUAUAUCAAUCCUUCAGCUAAAGGUCAUAGUGUUGUGCCAUGUUAUCUGGAUUUUUAUUAUUUUCUCAUAAACUAUGACAUUUAUAAAAUGUCAGCAUCUAAGGAAAUGAGGCCUAUAUGAAUGUGGAAGAAGGAUAAAAUCUGUUUACUCUGGCAAUUCCAUCAGCGUGGUUCAGAGUUAUAAAUGUUAUCACAAUGAAUAAUGCAGUGUUUUGUAUUGUUUACAGGUAUUAGCAAUUGUUUUUCUGGAUAGACAUGGAUGUUAGUAAACUUAGAAAUAAAAGCUAAGACAUAUCACGCUUUAUUUAGAUGGAUUGUGUCAUGUGCAGGGACAACAGAAAGGUCUUUCUUGUCAGAACCAAGAAUAAAUUUGAUUCUUCCAUUUUCCUUUUUCUUGAGCAACCUUAACACAAGCAGAUAGUGACAAGGGGGAAUGAUAUAAGAAUAAAAGAAGGGAGAUUUAGCUUAGAUGUUACGAGGAAAUUCUUGGAGGGUUGUGAGGCACUGGAACAGGCUGCCCAGAGAGCUGUGGCUGCCCCAUACCUGGAGGCUCCCAAGACAUGGUUGGAUGGUGUCCUGGGCAGCCUGAUUUGGUGGGGUCAGCCAGACACAGCAGGGGGUUGGAAGUAGGUGGUCUUUAAGUUCCCUUCCAACAUCAAGCUAUUCUCUGAUAAUACUAACCUGUGGUGGCACGUACUCGGGGAACUCAAUUUUGGCAACAGAGUUCAGAGAAAAGUAGAUCUGACGCUACUAGCUCUCACACCAGGCUUCAGCAAUGAAGGAAGCUCUGCACCUCUCCUUUUUCCAUAUUCUAACCAAAGCUGUGCCAGCUGUAGCCCUACUCAUUUCUUAGUGUCCCUCAUAGUAUUUAGAAUUAUGAAUGUUUUUUGUGCUCCUGUCCUUUUUUACGUCCUGAGCUCCUCCUGUUCUUUCUUUUUGCGUUACUUGCAGGUGGAUGGCACACAAAUGGCCAGAAACAAACAUACAGUAUAAAAGAAUGUUGAACAUAAUGAGAGAAAGAAAGGAAUGUGAAUCAGGGCUGGAAAAGACUGGGGUCCACCUCAAAAAAUGUCUGAAAUCUCAGAUUGCGUGUCAUUUGGAAGUCCACCUUAAAUAAACAGCUCCUACAGUAAAACCUUCAUGGCCUGACGAAGAAAGAAAUGAAUUAAUUUUCAGUUCUGGACCUCCCAUGCAUCAGUGCAGCCCCUUCAAUCUGUGUGAAAGAAGUCAGCGUAUCUGCCAUCUGUCAGCACCUUUUCAUCUGUGUCCCGUUCUUCCUCACGCUGAUUCACCUGUGAGCUGAAUACUCAUCAACACUGUCCUCCAGUGUUACAUGACUACAUCCUGCUGCAACAGCAGGAGCUUUUUCACAUUUGUCCAGUCUUUUAAAAAAUGCGAAUAAUUUUGAACAGAUCCCACACUUCAUGUUCCACUGAAAUAAUCGACUCUUCCUUUCAUUUUGCUUGAAAUUGCUGAACUAUGAUGAAAUCCAGAAACCCAUCUCAUUUUUAAGCACAAUAUCAUAGAAAGGCCUGAAAAAUUAGAUUGAAGAAAUAUGAAUGAACUGUCGUGGAGUAUAAGUUAUUUAAUGGAUGGAGAGACUUCAACGAAGUAAGGAAUAUGCCCUAUAACGUGGGAGUAAAGCAGCUUGAGUCACACUGUCUCCUUUACAUCCAUGUAUUACCUUUGCCAGAAGACGAGAAGAGAUGUAGAGGCCGUCAGUCCACGUCAAGUGCCACGCUAGAAGAAAAAAAGGAGGAAAAAAUACCAUUGCAUGUGAAUCCUUGUGGUAACUGAGGCACUCUUCUGCAAUGAGAGGAUUAACAUUGGUUCAUUUCACUGCUCAACUUGUUUUGAAGGAGAAAAAAGUCUUCCCUAGGAGACCAUGGAGAUAGUACCAAAACAGACAGAUAGAGGGACUCUCCUGCAUGCGUAGGCAAAGUAUAUAAUCAUCUUGUAUAAGACAUAUAUUUCUUUCCUCAAAAAUUAGUUGAGUCAAAAACCUUCGAUCAAUUAUAUGUUUUGCCAUUUAUAACUCAUAGAAUACUUUAUUAAUAUUACUUGCAUAAAGUUUACAUCAAUCGUGACCAUAAAGGAUAAACAUGUUUUUAUUAAAAUGUUGUCUUAAGUUUACCAAGGAUCUUGGUCUCUAUCUUGCAGGGACCUGCUUCUCGUACAUCUCAGCACACACCAGUGUUUCGUAUCACAGAUUUGUCGGCAUUGGAAGAUCUAAAGAUCAUCUAGUGCAACCCCUCUGCUAAAGCAGGUUCCCUAGAGUAGGUUGCAGAGGACCUCUAUCUUUUCUGUCUGCUUUCCUACUAGCACAGUAUGAUGUCCUUCAAAGAGAAACGCAAAGCUUUCUGUUUGUGCUUCCCCUUUUAGAUGACUUGAUCAUUUCAAGCUAGUUGAGAGUGGUUCCUUUUUUUUCCUCAUGAAAAUUUCUGAUCAUGAGGAAAAUAUACAAUAAAGUACUAUUCUGACCGCUGGCCAAGUCUAUAUGCAGUAAGAAUGAAUUUUACUUUAUGUUGCUUUUUCCACUGAAGGUAGCAUCCUUUUACUACCAUGUGUAUACUACCUCUCUCUUUAUUAAAAAAAAAUAACUGUGAUUGUUCAAAACUAUGUUUUAUUAUAUACAAUAAAGUUGCAUUGAUAUUCUGAAGUUCAAAAUCUGAUUCUGAAUCCAAGUAAACAUAG